CAAGUAGGCGGAUAUAUAAGUCAGUUGUUAAAAGUACCGGCUCAACCGGUAUAGUGCAGUUGAUACUGUAUAUCUAGAGUAAGGUGAGGGAAGACGGAAUUUCUGGUGUAGCGGUGGAAUGCGCAGAUAUCAGGAAGAACACCAUUAGCGGAGGCGGUUUUCUGUACCAUUACUGACGCUGAAUUGCGAAGGUGUGGGUAUCGAACA
rnacentral:rRNA from 1 species